rnacentral:lncRNA from 1 species
CUCCACACCAUGAAGCUGCUGCUGAAGGAGGGAAGAGGGCUAGUGUUGGCAAUCCAAGACAGUCUUUUCUACACUCUUCAGUGUCUCGUUAAACUACAUGAAGCUAAAACCAGGCAUCACAACAGGGUGGAAUUGGAGUUGCUCUAUGAAAAAAAGCUGAAGUAUGCAUAGCCUGCCUGAUCACUGGUGUAGAGUCAAAGAAAUAAAGUUUGAACUUGAACAGCAAUGCUUCCUUGGAAUAUUCUCUCCAUGAGGCUUUGGAUGGUAUACUCAUUUGGACAGAAGGUUUCAAAAGAAAGAAGAAGAGAGAGAGGAGAA